rnacentral:misc_RNA from 1 species
AGAUGCUGUUGUUUAGAUCCCAUACGCCAUUCUUCUCCUAUUUUCACCCGACAGAUAAGGCAUGAAACUAUAUUUGUCAAAGAAGGUGGAGUGAAACUUGUAGCUUUUAUCUUGUUCUUGUAGCCCUUUUUUCUUUUUUUAAAUAUAAUUUAGUUUUAUUAUUUUAUUUUUAAAGUGAUGGUGGUAGAAUUAAGUGAGAAUUUAAAGUUGAAAGAUCCUUUUAUUUUUACUUUUAUUUGUAAAAUAUAAAAAUUUAUACAAAAUUAUAAAUAUGACCUAGGGCUUAUUUGGUUGAAA